rnacentral:lncRNA from 1 species
UGAGACUGAGUAAAAAGAAAGAUUUGAAGUGUGUAUAGAUCAAAGAUGGUCAUUGUCAUUUUGUUUAUCCCCGUUAUACAAUUGUUCUGCUCUGAUGUAGAUUUGUAAUUCUUGUUACUGCAUAGAAUACAUUGUUUACCCUUUUCCACUACAUCAGUAUAAAUCUACUCGACGAUAUCCACCAAGUACGAUGAGUCCUUUUGAGUGCAGAGUGCAGAAAUCUGGUAAAGAUCCCCCCAUGACUGCGAGUGAUGCAGAGGCAUUGGUCGAGCGGUCACGAAUUGAGACUUUGACCAGAAAGUUCGGAGCUUUAUGUCUAUCACUCUUGAUGUCGAUGCUAUUGGCUAACCAUGAUCUACAACUGCAGCAGGAAAAAAUCGUUAUAAGAGACGAUGAUCGGUGUAGAAAUGAAUAGUUUGGUAUAAGUGUAGCCAGACAACGUUGAGCUUACAGAGAUCAUUUACAAUGUAUUUAACAUAAUUUAGAAACUAGGGUUCACGACAAGCAAUGAGGAAUGUACAGGACUCCCAUGGCGUACGUGGAUGGCGUUUUGCUUUGUAAUCCACCACACUGAGGAAAUGGCGAUAAAGCAGAUAAAAUGGCAUCACAGCCAGCCCACCUAUAUAUAUAUAGUUAAUCCGAUUCUUCCAAUGCACAAAUGUACGUAAUUACCUAACGACAAACCAAAUGCACCAACGCCGAUUUUAGUUACAUAUGACGACUUACUUCCCAUCAAAAUAUGGAAAAGAGCCUGACAUCUUUUACUACUACUUACUUCCAUGGCAAGCCUCGAGAGCCUGCUGGACAUGGACGAAACUAUCCGAACGACAACGAAUAACAACGAAGAAAGUGGGCUGGCGUUCAAGAACCUAUUCUACAGUGUGAAGAAGAAACAGGCGUACCUACUCAAUGAUAUCUCUGGACAUGCUGU